rnacentral:lncRNA from 1 species
AUGUCUGGGCAUGAGGAAACCACUGCUCCCACCAAUACCAGCUCAAAAUGCCAGCAAACCCAGUGGCCAUUGUGUCUCCAGUGCUUGCCUUGCCCCCACUGCCGUGUCCAUUGCACACCUGCUGAGGGCAGCAGGGACAGGCCCAGGGAUGGCAAAUCCCCCCAGGGACCGUGGAACAGGGGAGGAGCAGAGCAGCUGCUGGGCUGUGCUGCCCUCAGCUGCACAUCUGGGGCUUCAGGCUCUCAGGACCUGCUCUGGGCCCUGCAGCCAAGCCCAGCAACCCAGCUCAGCCCAGGCAGCACAGCCUGGCACUGCCUGGCACUGCCUGGCACUGCCCGGCAGCCCCUCUGCAGGGCAGGACCCAUCACACCAGCCUGGGAACAGGGCAGCAGGGGCUGCCAGUUUGGGAUUAUGGAGUGUAGUCCUGGGAUGUUGGACCCCUGGCACUCUCAUCACGAGACAGAAAACAUAACAAAUCCCUGGGAACGAGGGGUCCCUCCUGAGCCCAGAGCCCGCUGGCAGCACUGGUGGGAGCUGCCCCUCUUUGCCAAGGCCAGGGCAGCUCCAGGGGGCAUGGGCAGCCCCAGAGAGCCCCAGUGCCUCUCUCCAGGAGCACAGCAUCCCAGGAUGUGCCUGUCAGCAGCAGGAAUGCAGGCCAUAAAUCACGGGGGCUGUGAUGGGAGCUGGCGGCAGGCCAGGGCCGUGGCAGCCCCUCGUGCUCCCCUUGCCAAAGGGAACAGGCAGGGCACGGGGUGCUGGCGGUGCUGCCACCACACGCAAUCCGUCUGCAAUGCUGCAGCCUGGAUCUGGAUCAGAAAGGGCCAAAGGUUGGAUGAUUUAAUUUUUUCAUUUUUCCUUGCAGUACAGCAGGAAAUAGCUGGGAUAGUUACAUACCUGGCGAGAUGGCUGAGGAGCCAGGGGCCAAGAAACACAGAGGAUCUGGCAUGGCCCAGAGCAUCUGUGCUGCACACAGAGCCUGCAGGCACCUGGGGCUGGGGGGUCUGCACACCUGACCCGGGACUGGGAGGUCACAGCAAGGACCCUCAAGGCUUCAGGAACUGGUAG